AACGAACGCUGGCGGCAUGCCUAACACAUGCAAGUCGAACGAGACCUUCGGGUCUAGUGGCGCACGGGUGCGUAACGCGUGGGAACCUGCCCUUAGGUUCGGAAUAACUCCCCGAAAGGGAUGCUAAUACCGGAUAAUGUCUUCGGACCAAAGAUUUAUCGCCUUUGGAUGGGCCCGCGUUGGAUUAGCUAGUUGGUAGGGUAAAAGCCUACCAAGGCGACGAUCCAUAGCUGGUCUGAGAGGAUGAUCAGCCACACUGGGACUGAGACAUGGCCCAGACUCCUACGGGAGGCAGCAGUGGGGAAUAUUGGACAAUGGGCGAAAGCCUGAUCCAGCAAUGCCGCGUGAGUGAUGAAGGCCUUAGGGUUGUAAAGCUCUUUUACCCGGGAUGAUAAUGACAGUACCGGGAGAAUAAGCUCCGGCUAACUCCGUG
rnacentral:rRNA from 1 species